AUUGAACGCUGGCGGCAGGCCUAACACCUGCAAGUCGCACGAGUGGCGGACGGGUGAGUAAUGUCUGGGAAACUGCCCGAUGGAGGGGGAUCACUACUGGAAACGGUAGAUAAUAACGCAUACCAUCGAAUGUGCCCAGAUGGGAUUAGCUAGUAGGUGGGGUAAUGGCUCACCUGGGCGACGAUCCCUAGCUGGUCUGAGAGGAUGACCAGCCACACGGGAACUGAGACACGGUCCAGACUCCUACGGGAGGCAGCAGUGGGUAAUAUUGCACAAUGGGCGCAAGCCUGAUGCAGCCAUGCCGCGUGUAUGAAGAAGGCCUUCGGGUUGUAAAGGACUUUCAGCGAGGAGGCGUUACUCGCAGAAGAAGCACCGGCUAACUCCGUGCCAGCAGCCGCGGUAAUUC
rnacentral:rRNA from 1 species